ACUGAGGAAUGAUGACACUAAAAGGCCGAAUUGCAGUGUGUCCAUCAGCAGUUUGCUCUCUGGGCACACGAUGACAAAAUCUCCUGAAGCGAACUAGUGGUCUGACCUCAGU
rnacentral:snoRNA from 12 species